AAAUUAUUUUGAUUAUAAUUUACUUUUAUUGCAUUAAAAUCGACAGUUGCUAUAUCCUUCUUACAGUGGCCAUAUGCAUUACUGUAAACUUUAUACAGUAGAACCAUUGCACCAUAAUAUGUAAAGAAAAUCAAUGAUCAUUCUACAUGCUUUAAUGUUUUAAUUUUCCUUUAUUAGGUUAUAAUCUUUAUUGCCAAUGGAAAAUAGUGUUUUAAAAUAGGUGUUUUAAUUGUUUGUUGUAAUUUUACAAGACGCUAAAAUCAAUUGUAUCACGGCCCUGUGCAUUUUCUCUCGUUUGUGGCUGUUCAAUAAAUCAUGAUACCUUGAGGAGGCGGAGCUACCAUUUGUACAAUAACUUCCCAGUGUCGGGAAGUUAAUGUACAGGUAGCUGUACAACAACUUCCACCUUUAUACAUGAAAACAAAAUCCAAGAACAUCAAUUAAUUAGCUUAAAAAAUUGUCUUACAAGCAACAACAAAAAAAAAAAAAAAAAAA
rnacentral:misc_RNA from 1 species